rnacentral:rRNA from 1 species
UACGUAGGGUGCAAGCGUUGUCCGGAAUUAUUGGGCGUAAAGAGCUCGUAGGCGGUCUGUUGCGUCGGCUGUGAAAACCCGGGGCUCAACCCCGGGCCUGCAGCCGAUACGGGCAGACUGGAGUACUGCAGGGGAGACUGGAAUUCCUGGUGUAGCGGUGGAAUGCGCAGAUAUCAGGAGGAACACCGGUGGCGAAGGCGGGUCUCUGGGCAGUAACUGACGCUGAGGAGCGAAAGCGUGGGGAGCGAACAGG